rnacentral:rRNA from 1 species
ACGUUCAACCGCAAAACAAGCAGAGGGGGCUUAGUGGUGGGGUGACUGCGUACCUUUUGUAUAAUGGGUCAGCGACUUAUAUUCUGUAGCAAGGUUAACCGAAUAGGGGAGCCGCAGGGAAACCGAGUCUUAACCGGGCGUUAAGUUGCAGGGUAUAGACCCGAAACCCGGUGAUCUAGCCAUGGGCAGGUUGAAGGUUGGGUAACACUAACUGGAGGACCGAACCGACUAAUGUUGAAAAAUUAGCGGAUGACCUGUGGCUGGGGGUGAAAGGCCAAUCAAACCGGGAGAUAGCUGGUUCUCCCCGAAAGCUAUUUAGGUAGCGCCUCGUGAAUUCAUCUCCGGGGGUAGAGCACUGUUUCGGCUAGGGGGCCAUCCCGGCUUACCAACCCGAUGCAAACUGCGAAUACCGGAGAAUGUUAUCACGGGAGACACACGGCGGGUGCUAACGUCCGUCGUGAAGAGGGAAACAACCCAGACCGCCAGCUAAGGUCCCAAAGUCAUGGUUAAGUGGGAAACGAUGUGGGAAGGCCCAGACAGCCAGGAUGUUGGCUUAGAAGCAGCCAUCAUUUAAAGAAAGCGUAAUAGCUCACUGGUCGAGUCGGCCUGCGCGGAAGAUGUAACGGGGCUAAACCAUGCACCGAAGCUGCGGCAGCGACGCUGAUGCGUUGUUGGGUAGGGGAGCGUUCUGUAAGCCUGUGAAGGUGGCCUGUGAGGGUUGCUGGAGGUAUCAGAAGUGCGAAUGCUGACAUAAGUAACGAUAAAGCGGGUGAAAAGCCCGCUCGCCGGAAGACCAAGGGUUCCUGUCCAACGUUAAUCGGGGCAGGGUGAGUCGACCCCUAAGGCGAGGCCGAAAGGCGUAGUCGAUGGGAAACGGGUUAAUAUUCCCGUACUUGGUGUUACUGCGAAGGGGGGACGGAGAAGGCUAUGUUGGCCGGGCGACGGUUGUCCCGGUUUAAGCGUGUAGGUGUGUGUUCCAGGUAAAUCCGGUUCACUUUAACACUGAGGCGUGACGACGAGGCACUACGGUGCUGAAGCAACAAAUGCCCUGCUUCCAGGAAAAGCCUCUAAGCAUCAGGUAACAUCAAAUCGUACCCCAAACCGACACAGGUGGUCAGGUAGAGAAUACCAAGGCGCUUGAGAGAACUCGGGUGAAGGAACU